GCCCUCAGGACAGAGACUGAACAAGGGAUGUGACUGCUGUGAAUACUCCCAGCCAAAGGCCAUCAGGACACCCGGAGUUGAACAAGGGGUUAGAAAUUGCCCUGAAGGAAGAGGUGGACAACUCUGCCAGACACUGGGAAGAUCAGUGCGGAACACACGGCCAGGAUCCAGCCAGUCAGAACUGACUCCCCCAUCAAUCACAUCUUUGCAGAAAAAUCUACACCAGAGCUUGCUAGAUUCCUAGUAACUCAUGAUGGUGUUAACUGUUGGGGUCUGUACUACGUUUAUCAGCUGUAACAGUCACUGCUAAGGUUUGCAGUUUCCUUUCUGUUGCCAGCGGGAUCACGAGUCCACCGGGAGAAAUGAACAACUCCAGACGCGUGGUCUUAAGAGCUGUACCACUCACCAUGAAGCUCUGUGGCUUCACUUCUGAAUCCAGGGAGGCCACGAACCCACCAGAAGGUAGAAACUGUGAACCCGUUCAAACAUCAGAAGGAACGAACUGGACACGUUGUUCUUAAGAAGUGUAACACUGAUCGUGAGGGUCUGUGGUUUCAUUCAUGAAGUCAGUGAGACGAGGAACCCACCAAUUACAGACACAGUAUGAUGAACCAAAAACCCCAACACUUCCCUGCCAUAAAACAGGAAUCAAAUGAGGCCAGUAACAAAGACAGUUUGAGUCCAGGGCACUGAGUGAAGGCACUAGAUAUGCUGGGACUCAUCAUUGCUUUGGAACAGGGACAGGAUCUGGGUACGAAGUUUCUACCGCUCUUGUGGUGGGGAGUUGGGUUGGGCAUCACUUUCAUACGGCGAGAGGAAACGGUGGUGUCAUCUAUGUUAGCACUGGCUGCAGUGGAGCUUAAAAAACAUGUUGCAAGCUCUCACAUGGGUUCAAGUCUGAAUUUCCACUGCUACGUGGUCUGAAAACUGCAAGCAGGAAUUUACAUUUAAAGCACAUGGAGUCUAUAGUAUCCCCAGGUACUUCAGAGAAGCAAAUAUCAAUACUCCCUCGAGGAGUAAGUCUUCAAACAAGGCUUCCAAGCACCCCACAGGGUUAGUGGCACCAACUUUUAACUACUGUAACUAAUAAGGAGAAGCCAAGGGUACAUAUGAAGAAGUUGUUUAUGAGCAUUUGCCAACAAAAAAAGACCUGCAAAGACGUCAGAUACUGUAAGAACAGAAUACAGAAUAUAAAAUGGGUAUUCUUAAUAUGUUUCAAUGAGUAAAGGCAGAAAUAAGGUGAAGAGUCAGGAUGAAGGGAUCACCGAAGAUGAGCAGACAAAUUUGGGCAAAACUAGAAAUGUAAACUAUAAUAAUUGAAGUAAAAAGAAAACUCAAUGGAAGGGUUAAAAAAUUGCUGGAGAUGAGAGAACAAUUAGUAAACUCAGUUAUUCAAAAAUUAUACUAUUACACAAAGAGAUCAAUACAUUAAAAAUAGAAAAGUUUAAGAGACAAGUAGAAAAUCCACCGUACAUAUAAUCAGAAUUUGAGAGGCAGAUUGUUGAA
rnacentral:lncRNA from 1 species